rnacentral:rRNA from 1 species
AUGGCCGAGUGGUCUAAGGCGGCAGGCUCAAGUUCUGGUCCUCUUACAAGGGCAUGGGUUCAAACCCCACUUCUGACAUAUAUUUUUAAUUCCUUUUUUCUUCUUUAUUUCACCAUCUCUAUACUUUUUUUUAAGCUUUCAGACUUUUAUUCCAGCUUAAAGGCAUGUCACAGAGAGCAAUAUGCAGGACUAGACAGACUAACACCUACACAAGUGAAAAAACAAGCUCCAACAUUACGAACGUUGUAA